CGAAAGCCUGAUCCAGCAACGCCGCGUGAGGGAUGACGGCCUUCGGGUUGUAAACCUCUUUCAGCAGGGACGAAGCGAAAGUGACGGUACCUGCAGAAGAAGGACCGGCCAACUACGUGCCAGCAGCCGCGGUAAUACGUAGGGUCCGAGCGUUGUCCGGAAUUAUUGGGCGUAAAGGGCUCGUAGGCGGUUCGUCACGUCGGGAGUGAAAACUCAAGGCUCAACCUUGAGCGUGCUUCCGAUACGGGCGGACUAGAGGUAUGCAGGGGAGAACGGAAUUCCUGGUGUAGCGGUGGAAUGCGCAGAUAUCAGGAGGAACACCGGUGGCGAAGGCGGUUCUCUGGGCAUUACCUGACGCUGAGGAGCGAAAGCAUGGGGAGCGAACAGGAUUAGAUACCCUGGUAGUCCAUGCCGUAAACGUUGGGCGCUAGGUGUGGGGACCUUCCACGGUUUCCGUGCCGCAGCUAACGCAUUAAGCGCCCCGCCUGGGGAGUACGGCCGCAAGGCUA
rnacentral:rRNA from 1 species